rnacentral:rRNA from 1 species
GGGUUGUGAGGUUAAGCGACUAAGCGUACACGGUGGAUGCCCUGGCAGUCAGAGGCGAUGAAGGGCGUGCUAAUCUGCGAUAAGCGCCGGUAAGGUGAUAUGAACCGUUAUAACCGGCGAUACCCGAAUGGGGAAACCCAGUGUGAUUCGUCACACUAUCAUUAACUGAAUCCAUAGGUUAAUGAGGCGAACCGGGGGAACUGAAACAUCUAAGUACCCCGAGGAAAAGAAAUCAACCGAGAUUCCCCCAGUAGCGGCGAGCGAACGGGGAGGAGCCCAGAGCCUGAAUCAGCAUGUGUGUUAGUGGAAGCGUCUGGAAAGGCGCGCGAUACAGGGUGACAGCCCCGUACACAAAAGCGCAUGUGCUGUGAGCUCGAUGAGUAGGGCGGGACACGUGGUAUCCUGUCUGAAUAUGGGGGGACCAUCCUCCAAGGCUAAAUACUCCUGACUGACCGAUAGUGAACCAGUACCGUGAGGGAAAGGCGAAAAGAACCCCGGCGAGGGGAGUGAAAAAGAACCUGAAACCGUGUACGUACAAGCAGUGGGAGCACCCUUCGGGGUGUGACUGCGUACCUUUUGUAUAAUGGGUCAGCGACUUAUAUUCUGUAGCAAGGUUAACCGAAUAGGGGAGCCGGAGGGAAACCGAGUCUUAAUUGGGCGUUAAGUUGCAGGGUAUAGACCCGAAACCCGGUGAUCUAGCCAUGGGCAGGUUGAAGGUUGGGUAACACUAACUGGAGGACCGAACCG